rnacentral:rRNA from 1 species
UACGGAGGGGGCUAGCGUUAUUCGGAAUUACUGGGCGUAAAGCGCACGUAGGCGGACUGGAAAGUUGGGGGUGAAAUCCCGGGGGCUCAACCUCGGAACUGCCUUCAAAACUCCCAGUCUUGAGGUCGAGAGAGGUGAGUGGAAUUCCGAGUGUAGAGGUGAAAUUCGUAGAUAUUCGGAGGAACACCAGUGGCGAAGGCGGCUCACUGGCUCGAUACUGACGCUGAGGUGCGAAAGCGUGGGGGAGCAAACAGG